rnacentral:rRNA from 1 species
GACAGAGGGGGCAAGCGUUGCUCGGAAUCACUGGGCGUAAAGGGCGCGUAGGCGGGAUGGCAAGUCGGUCGUGAAAUCCUUCGGCUCAACCGAAGAACGUCGGCCGAUACUGCCGUUCUUGAGGGAUGCAGAGGAGAUUGGAAUUCCCGGUGUAGCGGUGAAAUGUGUAGAGAUCGGGAGGAACACCGGUGGCGAAGGCGGGUCUCUGGGGCCAUAACUGACGCUGAGAAGCGAAAGCAUGGGGAGCGAACAGG